rnacentral:lncRNA from 1 species
AUGAAAACUAGCCCUGGCGGUGGCAGGUCCGCCGAGGAGCGUCGCCCGGCCCAGUCGGUCGUGACACCAGCCGGCCGCAGGAGCACCUCGCCCCGCGGCGCCCGCCUCCCGCCGGCGCGCUCAGCUCCUCCUCCCGCCCGCGCGUCUCUCUCGGCGCGGACCAGGCGGCCGGUGGCGAUCCGCACCCCGCAGGGCGAGGAGCCCCCGAGCGGGGGCAGAGCCCCCGGCUGCCCAAGGAAGGAGGGUGCCUCGGCGGCGUACAGCCCCGGGGUGUGGGCGCCGGGACCUGGCGGGGCCGGCGAUGCCGCGGCUGGACCGAGCACCACUGCUCUAGAGAACGGCAUCUACCGUGGCAACACUGACCACCCGUCCUAUUGCUGCUUCUGGUCCGUUGGUAGACUACCUAUGGAUGCUUAUCCUGGGCUUCAUCACUGCAUCUGUCCUGGCCUUCUCCGUGGGAGCCAGCGAUGUAGCAGAUUCUUUUGGUUCAGCCGUGGGAUCAGGUGUCCUGAAGCAAGCCUGCAUCCUAGCAGCGUGGGAUGGGCAAAUGCAGUGGGCAAUGAACUUUGGCAUCUUCUGGACGAGGAGCCAGGCUCUCCGCCCGCCACCCUUGAUUGGAGAAAAGAGGCCCUGAUGUCAUCCCCAGCAUCAGCCAUCUGCCUGCCACCAGCACGGGAGGCGUCUCAGCAGCCCCCUCCCAGGGGCCUUCUUUCUCGGCUUACGGAAUGGAGGGAAAAGCGUGAACAUCGAGAAACAGCAGACAAGCGACCCCCAGGCCUAGCGAAGGUGAGCUCUGUGUGUGUGUGCGUGUGUGCGCCCUUCUCUCUGCUGGACCUGUUGGCACCUUUCUCUUCCUCUCCACUGGGCUCCACGUAG